rnacentral:rRNA from 1 species
UACGUAGGGACCGAGCGUUGUCCGGAUUCAUUGGGCGUAAAGAGCUCGUAGGCGGCUGCUCAAGUCGAAUGUGAAAACUCGAGGCUCAACCUCGAGCCUGCAUUCGAUACUGGGCGGCUAGAGUCUGGUAGGGGGAUCUGGAAUUCCUGGUGUAGCGGUGGAAUGCGCAGAUAUCAGGAGGAACACCGGUGGCGAAGGCAGCUCGCUGGGACGGUACUGACGCUGAGGCGCGAAAGCGUGGGGAGCAAACAGG